rnacentral:rRNA from 1 species
CCGCCCUGGGUUAGUCGGGACCUAAGCUGAGGCCGAAAGGCGUAGGUGAUGGACAACAGGUUGAUAUUCCUGUACUACCGAUAACCGUUUGAGAGAAGGGAUGACACAGUAGGAUAAGCUAAGCACACUGUUGGUUAUGUGUGCCCAAGCAUUGAGGCAGUCAAAGUAGGCAAAUCCGCUUUGAUAAUGCUGGGAUGUGAUGGGGAGCGAAAUUUAGUAGCGAAGUAGCUGAUUUCACACUGUCAAGAAAAGUCUCUAUCGAGGUUAAAGGUACCCGUACCGCAAACCGACACAGGUGGGUGAGGAGAGUAUCCUAAGGCCAGCGAGAGAACUGUUGUUAAGGAACUCGGCAAAAUGACCCCGUAACUUAGGGAUAAGGGGUGCCACCAUCAGGUGGCCGCAGAGAAUAGGCCCAAGCGACUGUUUACCAAAAACAUAGGUUUCUGCUAAGUCGCAAGACGAUGUAUAGGAGCUGACGCCUGCCCGGUGCUGGAAGGUUAAGGGGAUCUGUUAGAG